CCCGCUGAACUUAAGCAUAUCAAUAAGCGGAGGAAAAGAAACCAACAGGGAUUGCCUCAGUAACGGCGAGUGAAGCGGCAACAGCUCAAAUUUGAAAUCUGGUUCCUUUGGGAACCCGAGUUGUAAUUUGUAGAGGUGUCUUCGGGUUUGGCCCUGGCCUAAGUUCCUUGGAACAGGACGUCACAGAGGGUGAGAAUCCCGUAUGUGGCUGGAGGUCUAUACCCAUGUGAAGCCCCUUCGACGAGUCGAGUUGUUUGGGAAUGCAGCUCAAAAUGGGUGGUAAGUUUCAUCUAAAGCUAAAUACUGGCGGGAGACCGAUAGCGCACAAGUAGAGUGAUCGAAAGAUGAAAAGCACUUUGGAAAGAGAGUUAAAAAGUACGUGAAAUUGUUGAAAGGGAAGCGCUUGCGAUCAGACUUGCCCUCAGUUGAUCAACUGGUGUUCUUCACCAGUGCACUCGGCUAAGGUCAGGCCAGCAUCGGUUUAGGCGGUUGGAGAAAGAUCAUGGGAAUGUGGCUCUCUUUGGGGAGUGUUAUAGCCUGUGAUGCCAUGCAACCAGCUUAGACCGAGGACCGCGCCUUUGUUGCUAGGAUGCUGGCGUAAUGGUCGUAAGCGACCCGUCUUGAAACACGG
rnacentral:rRNA from 1 species